AACGAACGCUGGCGGCAGGCCUAACACAUGCAAGUCGAACGCACCGCAAGGUGAGUGGCGCACGGGUGAGUAACACGUGGGAAUGUAUCCUUUGGUUCGGAAUAACGUCUGGAAACGGACGCUAAUGCCGGAUGAGCCCUUAGGGGGAAAGAUUUAUCGCCAAAGGAGCAGCCCGCGUCUGAUUAGGUAGUUGGUGGGGUAAAGGCCUACCAAGCCGACGAUCAGUAGCUGGUCUGAGAGGAUGAUCAGCCACACUGGGACUGAGACACGGCCCAGACUCCUACGGGAGGCAGCAGUGGGGAAUAUUGGACAAUGGGCGCAAGCCUGAUCCAGCCAUGCCGCGUGAGUGAUGAAGGCCUUCGGGUUGUAAAGCUCUUUCGCACACGACGAUGAUGACGGUAGUGUGAGAAGAAGCCCCGGCUAACUUCGUGCCAGCCGCCGCGGUAACAC
rnacentral:rRNA from 1 species